UUCACCUGUUCAGAGCACAUGCUCAAAAUGUUUGAGCUUCAGUCAGUCAGCCUUUUAAGACAUGCUGCUAAGAAGAAGGAAGACAGUUCUUGUGUGGACUCAGAAGACGCAACUGAUUUAGGUGAAAGCCGCUGAAGGAGAGAGGAGAGCGGCUUAGGGCCAACUCAUGCAGCCACUACAAGAUCUCCAGCAGGCAGGAAGGAGCCAAGGUUUACCGUGUGAGCAGCACGGGGGAUUAUGCAGGGAGCAAAGAACCACUUUCCCACAACCCCUGCUGUGCGGGGUGGCUUGCACUCCACAUUAGAAUGGAAAAUCAUCCACACCUGACAGAGCUUGUCUGACGAGGAGUGACUCACGACACGUUCUGCUAAAUGGGGGACAGGACCCAGGACCCAGGACACAGGACCCAGGACCCAGGACCCAUUUACAAACACCAAUGACAUUGAAUCGUCUACAGCAGGGGUCACCAACCUUUUUGAAACCAGGAGCUACUUCUUGGGUACUGAUUAAUGCGAAGGGCUACCAGUUUGAUACACACUUAAAUAAAUUGCCAGAAAUAGCCAAUUUGCUCAAUCUACCUUUAAUAAAUAAAUCUAUAUAUAUAUUUU